rnacentral:lncRNA from 1 species
GAAAGGGAAAAGGACUCAUGCAGGCUGGAUUCGGACUCUAGGACAGCACCAAAUUGUGAUGGUCACCAUGGUCGCAUACGGACUCGGAUUGGGGUGUUCAAGUACUUCACGGAUUUGUUAUGAAGUCUAUUUCCAUAUGGAUCUAGACUCAAGUCCAUAUCUAGUCUGAGACGGCCGCAAUGACCGAAUUACUACCAAGAGGUUUUCUGGUGCUACGUCACUUUAAUUUGGCCCAAUGGGCCGUGUAUCAAGUCAGGUCCAUUAGGGACACAUCCUAGGGUUGGAGGAAAACCCCAAAAUCCUGGUGGUCAUCCUCCCACAUUCAUAUACCCCUUAGCCGCCAUGAAGAACAGUUGAGUUUUGUUUAGAUCAAGUUUAGCUCUCGCUACUUGCUUGUAAGCGUGCGUGCUGGAUCAGCCGCCCGUCUUCUUAUCUUCGGAACCCCACCUUAUUGAGAUUGAGAUUGAAACCUUCAUCUUCAUAUAGUACAUUCAAUACUUUUUAUACUUGUUCUUGCUAGUUCUUCGUUUGCUUGCAGGACUAGUGCCUUAGUUGCCGGGUGACGCGCUCCACAAGAUCGCGGCAUCCAUUGGAGGUGGUGUAUCAGUUGCUAAGGUGCAGCUUGGAAGGCUGUAGUCAGGCCGUGAACGUCGUCUCCAUCCACCAAUCAAGUUAC